rnacentral:tRNA from 1 species
AGUCCGGUAGCACAUGCAGCCGUGCAGCGAGGUUCUCGCCCUCGGCGGCGCGCAGUUCGGCGACGCGCCGGGCGA